UACGUAGGCGGAAUGCUAAGUAUCUGGUGAAAUCCCUCGGCUCAACCGAGGAAUUGCAGGGUAAACUGGCAUUCUUGAGGCAGGUAGAGGUAACUGGAACUCAUGGUGGAGCGGUGGAAUGCGUAGAUAUCAUGGGGAACGCCAAAGGUGAAGACAAGUUACUGGGCCUGUCCUGACGCUGAGGUACGAAAGCGUGGGUAGCAAACAGGAUUAGAUACCCUGGUAGUCC
rnacentral:rRNA from 1 species